UACGGGGGGGAGCAAGCGUUGUUCGGAUUUACUGGGCGUAAAGGGCGCGUAGGCGGCCUCUGCAAGUCGACUGUGAAAUCUCCGGGCUUAACCCGGAACGGUCAGCCGAUACUGCGGGGCUAGAGUGCAGAAGGGGCAACUGGAAUUCUCGGUGUAGCGGUGAAAUGCGUAGAUAUCGAGAGGAACACCUGCGGCGAAGGCGGGUUGCUGGGCUGACACUGACGCUGAGGCGCGAAAGCUAGGGGAGCGAACGGG
rnacentral:rRNA from 1 species